CUUGGGUCCGGCAUAACCCCGGGAAACUGGGGAUAAUUCCGGAUAACGCACAUAUGCUGGAAUGCUUUAUGCGUCAAAUGGAUUCGUCUGCCCAAGGAUGGGUCUGCGGCCUAUCAGGUAGUAGUGGGUGUAAUGUACCUACUAGCCGACGACGGGUACGGGUUGUGAGAGCAAGAGCCCGGAGAUGGAUUCUGAGACAUGAAUCCAGGCCCUACGGGGCGCAGCAGGCGCGAAAACUUUACAAUGCGGGAAACCGUGAUAAGGGGACACCGAGUGCCAGCAUCAUAUGCUGGCUGUCCGGGUGUGUAAAAUACACCUGUUAGCAAGGGCCGGGCAAGACCGGUGCCAGCCGCCGCGGUAACACCGGCGGCCCGAGUGGUGAUCGUGAUUAUUGGGUCUAAAGGGUCCGUAGCCGGUUUGGUCAGUCCUCCGGGAAAUCUGACGGCUUAACCGUUAGGCUUUCGGAGGAUACUGCCAGGCUUGGAACCGGGAGAGGUAAGAGGUACUAC
rnacentral:rRNA from 1 species